CCGCAUAUAUAAACGCGAACCCAGGCUUUUCCUCGUAGUGCUGCCGGGACCGUUGGCGAGUGUGGCUGCGGAGUAGGCUUUGUAGUAAUCGAUCUCUGGGCGCUGCGAGCUGAAAGAGCCGAGCUCGCAGGCCAGUCAUCAUGUCGCGUUACGGGCGGUACGGAGGAGAAACCAAGGUGUAUGUUGGUAACCUGGGAACUGGUGCUGGCAAAGGAGAGUUAGAAAGGGCUUUCAGUUAUUAUGGUCCCUUAAGAACUGUGUGGAUUGCCAGAAAUCCUCCGGGAUUUGCCUUUGUGGAAUUUGAAGACCCUAGAGAUGCAGAAGAUGCAGUGCGAGGCCUGGAUGGGAAAGUGAUUUGUGGUUCCCGAGUGAGAGUUGAACUAUCAACAGGCAUGCCUCGGAGAUCUCGUUUUGAUAGACCACCUGCCCGACGUCCCUUUGAUCCCAAUGAUAGAUGCUAUGAGUGUGGCGAAAAGGGACAUUAUGCUUAUGAUUGUCAUCGCUAUAGCCGCCGAAGAAGAAGCAGGUCACGGUCUAGAUCACAUUCAAGAUCCAGAGGUAGGCGAUACUCUCGCUCUCGCAGCAGGAGCAGGGGAAGGAGGUCAAGAUCAGCAUCUCCUCGGCGAUCAAGAUCUGUGUCUCUUCGUAGGUCAAGAUCAGCUUCACUCAGACGAUCUAGGUCUGGUUCUAUAAAAGGAUCGAGGUAUUUCCAAUCCCGGUCCAGGUCGAGAUCAAGAUCCAGGUCUCUUUCACGACCAAGAAGCAGCCGAUCGAAGUCCAGAUCUCCAUCUCCAAAAAGAAGUCGUUCCCCAUCAGGAAGUCCGCGAAGAAGUGCAAGUCCUGAAAGAGUGGACUGAAGUUCUCAAGUUCACCUUUUAGGGAAAAGUUAUUUUGUUUACAUUAUUAUAAGGGAUUUGUGAUGUCUGUAAAGUGUAACUUAGGGAAGGGUAAUUCAACCAUCUAAUCAAAAUGGAUCUGGACUAUUACUCUGUAAAUUCACAGCAGUAAGGUAAUAUAAAUUUUUGUUGAAUGUAUUAACAUCCUAUGGUCUGAAAAUGUGGGUUUUUAUUUGGCACAUUUAAAAUAAAAAAUGUUUCUAAUUAGAUUUUUGAUUUGUGUUCAGUAUUAAUGCUCCUCAGUUUGGUAGGCUUCAGGAGUCAACCUUGAUAUUAACCAUAUUCAUACAGACCUGCAUUCAAAGUUUAAUGGUGUUAUUUAAGUCUUGAACAUCAUUGAAUAGUAUAUAUACACUUGGAAGAUUCCUUUCUACACUUAGAGUUUUGGGUAAGGUGGUAAGAACUCGAGUGAGUCCCCCUUAGUAGCAUGAAUGCAUCAUGACAAGUCCCUAAAUUAAUCUAUUGGAGUUGGUGUUAUUAGAUGUUAUCAGGCUAAUGAUCUCUUCUGUCAGGCUGUAGGGACCACUGACUUGCUAUAAAGUGAGCGCAACAGGAACUGAGCAAGAGUAGCUGGACUUAAUGCUGGAGAAACUGAAUUUUCUGAAGCCUAUUUAAGUAUAAUAACUAAUUGAGGUUUUCAGCCUAUUAGAUAGGAUGGUGUCAAAUUAAAGUUCUCCAUUCUAGGAAGUUAUACUCAAUGUUCUUUUGUUUCUUUGUUUUCAAACAUUAACCAAUUUUAUGCCAAAAUUUUUGCAUGUUUGAAGAAUUGUCUGAAUUUGGGACAAAACAUCUUCAUGUAAACCAGCUUUGCAAAAUUUUCCAGCCCAGAUAUUCUCCUCUGUCUCUUCAAAUGGAUUGCCUUAUUCUGAGCAGAGAUCUGUUAAUUCCCAAGUUAGGUUUUUCAGUUCCCGAACACCAACAUACUUUAUCUUAUUUUGCCAGGCUGGUGCAAAGUAAUUAAAGAUGUCAAUCAGAAAUGUUAAAAAGACUAAAGUAGUUUUGUAAAUCCAACCUAUAUUUAGCAACACCUCAUGUAGUUAUUUUUUGGUAGCAUCUGGUAAACUUUAGAAUGUUAGAGCCAGUAGAUUCUUUAUUUGGACUUCAAAUAUCUUAAGUAUCGUAGGGCAGUAACAAUUUUGAGUUUUCUGGUCAAGCUUUUGGUGCAAAAAAAUUUAGUGCUGGUGGCACAGCUGUCUGCCCUUGUUUCUUAUGCUUUUAAACAAAGUUAUUGGAUAACUUUACAAUUUGGGAACACUGAUCUGCCUCAAAUUUAUUUACUGGUCUGAAUGAUCAUUAGUAUGUUGGAAGUUUGGAUGUUCUGUUUUUGGAAUUUUGACAACUGGCUGCGUUUUAUGGUUGGUAUAAAGCUAUGUGUGUAAUCAGCAGGCUUAUUUGUUGCACUUGGUCAGCUUUAAUUGUUCUGUAUUAUAUAAAGAUAAGAUUACUCAACAAUAAAUCUGCAGAGAAUAAACAGUCCUGAUAUUCAAUUUUUGGAAGUGGGAGUUCUGAGCCAAGUGUAGGAAACAUCCUGUAGCUUUGGGAUGGAUUACUAGCAGCAUCCUAGAGAUUAGUGUGAAAGGGUAAAAAUGAUAUGGAGGAGGGGUUAGGGGCAAAGAUGAUUUUAAGAAACAAGCACAGAAAAUUCUAUUUACCCUUAUGGGAAAGGAAAUACUGGGUGUAUAGACCAACACCUUUUGUACCCUUGACUGCAACUCUGUAGCCCUGUGUUUAGUAUACAUCUUAAAAUGAUACAUUGGUGUAGUGCACCUUUUUUUUGUUUAGAGGUUGGGACUGCUAAAUUGAUUGUGAUUGACUUGAAAAGUGCUGGUCUAAACUCAUUGCUUCUAAAUUAUUUACCUGGCAUUGAUCGGUAGCUAAUUGAACACAUCAGACAUUGAGUGCUUUGGGCAAUGAACCUUACCUUGGUUCUCUCUCCUAGGUAUAGAGGUAGGUAAAGCAUAACUCAUGACUUCACUUUGGUAGUUCUCCUUUGGGCUUUGAACUAAGUAUCAAGUUAAAGUGUGGUCCUACCAUUUUACCAUGUCCCCUCUCCUGAGGACAAAGAAUAAAAUUUGAGGAGGUCUUGAAAUACCAUCAAUUUGUGACUUUGGGUUAAAUGAAUGGUAGUGUGGGACUGUGGUUUUUGUCUUUGUGUAGCCUAUCUCAAAGUCUAAAGGAACGCAGUGAUUUCCAGGAUAUAUUAAGCUUAAGUAGGAAUUGAAAGCUCUGAAACUGACAUGUUGGCAAUGAGUUAUCAGUGAAGGACAGGAGCAAAGAAUUCAUUAGAUCUGGCUCUGAGUGAGCAACAAUUGCUUGGAGACUUUUGCAGGGGAGGGCUGUAUAGUAUAGCCUAAAAGAUGUAUGCAUAAUUUUUUAGCUGGAAAGACAUGAAGGCAAAGAAGGUCAAAGUAGCAAGAAAUACUCGGGGCCUGGCUGGUGUUGGAGUGUUCGGAGGGUGGUGAGAACUGGUGACAAGCCGAAGAAAUGAGACAAAGAUGCCUAGGUUUAAGGUACUACUAGCUUUGGAAUAUAGAAGUGAACAAAGUCUUUAUCUUCAUGGAGCUGGAGUUCUGGAGAGACAAAAUGAACAAAUAUCAG